GAUAUUUCAAGGAAAAGUCAAUCAGAAUGUGGUUAUCACUUUGCAUGGCUUGCAUGACCAAGAGUGAAACCACCAUCUCAAUAAAAUCCAAAAGCGCCGUUCGGCAAUACCUCCAUUUCAAUUCCAAGGGGAAGACCACGUAAUUCAUCAUCCCAAAGAGAAAAUGGUGAAGUUGAACGCCACACACAUUCAAAUCAUAAGCCUUAACCGUUCGGCCCCUUGCUCUGCAUGGCUUCCAUGACUGAGGAAGCAACCACCUUCUAAACCAAAUAUGGCUGUCACGUUGCAUGGUUAAAGGAGCAGAAACCUGUUCCAAUCUAACGGAUGCUCAUGUGCAUCCCCACCAUGAGAGAAGCUGCCGAAGGAUGUAUGGCCCAUGCCGAAAUCUUCAUCUUGGCACCACAAAGUGUUGUCUCCUCGUCCGAACUUCCAAAUUGCCGAACGGUAAUGCCGGGCAUGACUCACCUGGGAACCACCUUCCUAACCGGACAAAUCAUCCUACCGUUCGGUAAGACAGAAUUGAGCCAACUGAUAUUCCCAGACCUCCAGUAGAUCGGCAGCUUCCGAUUGGUGCCCCACAGAGGAUGAACGUCCCUGUUCAAGGCUAGCAAACCAAAUUACCGUUCUGCACUCCCUCUCUUCAAUACCACAAUCUUUCAAGCCAUCCAAGGGUUCUGAACGACAUUACCGUUUG
rnacentral:lncRNA from 1 species